CAGAAGGAGGGACGCAUCUAGCUGGCCAUCAAGGGCUUGCUCUGCUCCUCUUCUUCCUUGACCAUCGGUACCACCACGUUCCGGGCUUCCAAGGUGCGCCAGCACACCGCCGCCAUGCCUCCUCUGCUCUCCGGGCUCGGACCAAUCGCUCGCCCCUUCAGCCCAAGCCUUAUGUGCACUUACUGGUUUACUAGUCCAGAUUAUGUGCACUUCCUGGUUAAAAAUCUGCACUUAUAAUAGUCCAGGUUAUGUGCACUUACUGGUUUAACCUCCUGUUAAAAAUCUGAUGCUAUAAUAGUCCAAAUGUUAAAAAUCUGAUGCUAUAAUAGUCCAGGUUAUGUGCACUUACUGGUUAAAAAUCUGCACUUAUAGUUAUGCUAUUGCACUGUAUACAUGUGUAGUCAGUAACUAGUGCUACUACUUGAACUCAGAAUUUAUUUUACAAAGAAUAAAAAAGAUGAGCAUUUCUCUAGACAAUGUCUGCAGUAGUUGUUGUUGUGUAGUCAUCGGCUGGACCUAUGCAUCUCAUCAAAAUUUGCAAUAAUGUCUGUUGCCUAAGAAACUAGCGAAUUAUAGAGGCCUGAGAUUCUUCUGUUGUUGUACUUGUACAUGUAGCAGUGUUCUUGGCACUGUGACCUAAAGCAAUCGGUCGGCCAAUUGCAGUCUUGGCAUGCUCUGUUGCUCUCCUAGUUGUUAACCUAUGUGUAGUACGUAGGAAUAGAGGUAUGCUAAAUCUGGCAUUUUCAAGUAUGUUGUGUUGCUGUGACUGCUCUCAGUUUAAUAAGUCUGGCAUAAGAUGUAUUUAUUUAGACGAAGUAUCCGCUUUCCCUGACAUAAUGAAUUUUAGCUACUACAGCAUUUCUUGAAAUGAUUUUUAUUCUAAGCAUUUUUGUCAUAGUCAAUAAGCUAGUUCCUGAAUCAAAUUUGUUAAUGAAAUGUUUCUGUAGCAUGCUAUAGUUAAUUAGUUGGCAAGUGUGAUGUCCAUUCGCUGGAUUCCGUCGCCUGAUUCCAGACGCCUCCUCUGUUUUUUGCAGGUUCGGCAGCACUGCCGCAUCGACGAUGAAGGUGGUGACUGCGCCGGCGAGCGGCGCGAGUUGGUGGCUGCGGGACUCGGCGGCACGGCUCUCGUCAGCGGCGACAGAGGCGGUUGUUAGGCGAGCCGAGCGUGCCUCCUCCCCGUCCCCAAAAUCGCGUCCCUUUAACGCGUUCCAUUUCGAACAGCCGACGCAUCAGCGUUGUCGGAGCGCAUGAUAGACUACUAAAUGGACAAGUAUCUGCAACAUUCAGCGUCGAAGAUGAUGCUUACCAGAUGUUCUACUACAGCCCCAUCCAUAUCAUCGACAUGAAGUUAGAUUUUGGCCUUCAUUCGUCAAAAGUUGGUGUACAAGGAACUCCAGGAGAAGAAUCUUUAAGUAAAUAAUUUAUAUAGAUCAGGAUCUUAUGUUGUCGAGGUGGCUGCUGUUGUGACCAAAGAUCAGCCUGGAGAUGUGCAUCAUAGUUUUAGUUGAUGUUGCCACCAUGUUUUGGUGCCUGUGUAUUUGAUUGUAUGUACGCUUGAUGCACCGUGUAGUCGUGUACGUGCUGUUUGAGUUUCAUUUAGUGAUUUCUGAAUUUGAUCAUUUAAUUGAGAAAAUUAU